rnacentral:rRNA from 1 species
UACGAAGGGGGCUAGCGUUGCUCGGAAUUACUGGGCGUAAAGGCGCGUAGGCGGCCUGUUAAGUCGAACGUGAAAUCCCCGGCUCAACCCGGGAACUGCGUCCGAUACUGGCAGGCUUGAAUCCGGGAGAGGGAUGCGGAAUUCCAGGUGUAGCGGUGAAAUGCGUAGAUAUCUGGAGAACACCGGUGGCGAAGGCGGCAUCCUGGACCGGCAUUGACGCUGA